AAAGUCGUAACAAGGUUUCCGUAGGUGAACCUGCGGAAGGAUCAUUAACAACGUAUCCUAAACGUAAAAAACCCCCCCUGUGAACUUUCAUAACCCGAGCUUGCUAGGCCCGCGAAAUUCAGCAAUCCCUGGUAAAUCAUUGUUGACCAGCUCUUUGAGUCAGGGAUAUCCGAACUAGUCGUGUGGAUUAAGUUCCGUGAAGCAAGAGCGGUGAGGCAAGUGACCCGGUACCCCCAAGCAAUCAAUGUUCUGUCAGUGUCGUUGAUUGUGUAAGGGUGGCGCAGUAAACGAUCGCUGGAGGCCACCACGGCCGGCGACUGGGUCAGCGAGCUCUGCUCCUUAAUAACCCCACCUAAGGAUUAGCUCGGCGAAAGCUUGAGCACCAAAAACUAAUACGACUGUUAACAAUGGAUAUCUUGGUUCUC
rnacentral:misc_RNA from 1 species